rnacentral:rRNA from 1 species
CCUACGGGUGGCAGCAGUGAGGAAUAUUGGUCAAUGGACGAGAGUCUGAACCAGCCAAGUAGCGUGAAGGAUGACUGCCCUAUGGGUUGUAAACUUCUUUUAUAUGGGAAUAAAACGUUCCACGUGUGGGAUUUUGUAUGUACCAUAUGAAUAAGGAUCGGCUAACUCCGUGCCAGCAGCCGCGGUAAUACGGAGGAUCCGAGCGUUAUCCGGAUUUAUUGGGUUUAAAGGGAGCGUAGGUGGAUUGUUAAGUCAGUUGUGAAAGUUUGCGGCUCAACCGUAAAAUUGCAGUUGAAACUGGCAGUCUUGAUUACAGUAGAGGUGGGCGGAAUUCGUGGUGUAGCGGUGAAAUGCUUAGAUAUCACGAAGAACUCCGAUUGCGAAGGCAGUUCACUGGACUGCAACUGACACUGAGGCUCGAAAGUGUGGGUAUCAAACAGGAUUAGAUACCCUUGUAGUC